rnacentral:rRNA from 1 species
CCAAUAGCGUAUAUUAAAGUUGUUGCAGUUAAAAAGCUCGUAGUUGAAUUUCGGGACUAAUAUGUUUGUCGUGCUUUUGUACGUACUGUCAUUAUUGGUUUCUACCUUCUGAAGAACCGCGAUGUCAUUAAUUUGGUGUCGUGGGAAAUCAGGACUGUUACUUUGAAAAAAUUAGAGUGUUUAAAGCAGGCUCACGCUUGAAUACAUUAGCAUGGAAUAAUGAAAUAGGACGUUUAAUUCUAUUUUGUUGGGUUCUAGGAUCGACGUAAUAAUUAAUAGGGAUAGUUGGGGGCAUUAGUAUUCAAUUGUCAGAGGUGAAAUUCUUGGAUUUAUUGAAGACUAACUACUGCGAAAGCAUUUGCCAAGGAUGUUUUCAUUAAUCAAGAACGAAAGUUAGGGGAUCGAAGACGAUCAGAUACCGUCGUAGUCUUAACCAUAAACUAUGCCGACUAGGGAUCGGAGGAUGUUAAUUUUUUAAUGACUCAUUCGGCGCCUUACG